rnacentral:rRNA from 1 species
GUGGGGAAUAUUGGACAAUGGGCGAAAGCCUGAUCCAGCCAUGCCGCGUGUGUGAAGAAGGUCUUCGGAUUGUAAAGCACUUUAAGUUGGGAGGAAGGGCAGUAAGUUAAUACCUUGCUGUUUUGACGUUACCGACAGAAUAAGCACCGGCUAACUUCGUGCCAGCAGCCGCGGUAAUACGAAGGGUGCAAGCGUUAAUCGGAAUUACUGGGCGUAAAGCGCGCGUAGGUGGUUUUGUAAGUUGGAGGUGAAAUCCCCGGGCUCAACCUGGGAACUGCCUACAAAACUGAAUGACUAGAGUACGGUAGAGGGUAGUGGAAUUUCCUGUGUAGCGGUGAAAUGCGUAGAUAUAGGAAGGAACACCAGAGGCGAAGGCGACUACCUGGACUGAUACUGAAACUGAGGUGCGAAAGCGUGGGGAGCAAACAGGAUUAGAAACCCUGGUAGUCC